rnacentral:SRP_RNA from 1 species
UAGGCUUGACCGGGAUGCUUGGCGUAUCCUUGUAUACCGAAACCGUCAAUACGCGGAGGUGACAGCAAGGGGCGGCGCCGUGGAAACCUCAAGCCCACUGAGUGACGAUGAGAUUCUGUCUUGCGGGAUUAGUGUCCAUGUCCAGAGCCGUCGGAGGAUGGCCGAGUUCAUGCUAAUCGGGGAAACCGGGUCAGGUCCUGACGGGAGCAGCCUUACCCUGAACUACUAAAGUUCGCAGGGUAGCGGAGUCGAGAAGCGAUGUGUUAAACUUGACGUGGAAAUGACGUCC